CUUAUUAGUGAAUCAUUAAUACAACUGGUUUUAAUUGUUGUUCCUUGUACGCAGUAAGUUGGCUGCUGCUGGAGGCCCUCGCAUAAGGGUGCAGUUCCCGCCUGCUGCCCAUGGAGAUGCUGCGUGAGCGCUUCCUCGGCCAGUGGUGAACUGCCAGUGUCCUACGAGGAGUGAUGGGCUGGAUCAGUCCUGUUGCAACGUGAGCAAAAGAGAAUGAGCCUGAGUGUCGCUUUCUGGGGUGAGGCCAAAAGAGCAAAGACGCCCUGGGUUUUGUUUUCUUUUUCCGUGUUCUCCUGAGGACGGCAGACUGUGGUAUGUGCGUUUGAGCGACAGGCUGUUAUAUAUUUUGUCUGCCCUUGGAGGACGAAAGGUUAAACUUUAAAAGAAAAAGCCACUGCGUCUCUCUUCCUUUGGAGGAUGAAGGGGAGAGUUUCUGCAUAGAUCUUUAAUGUGUUUGCGGAGGUUGCAUCGACAGCAAGGAAAAUGAAUACUGAAGUCAGUGGAAUGCAUAAUGCCCGCCUGCAAAAUAGUGACUGUGCACUUCCCAACAAAAGUUGGAAGAGUUUGCCAACCACUGAACAUCUGUAAGGAGAACAAAACAAUUGAAGAUAUCAAACAUGACUGGUAG
rnacentral:lncRNA from 1 species